UAUUGGAUAACCGUAGUAAUUCUAGAGCUAAUACAUGCUUACAGUCCCAACUUUUUGGAGGGAUGUAUUUAUUAGAUUUCAAUCAACAUUUUUUGCUGACUCAUGAUAACUUAGCGGAUCGCAGAGGCCUCGUGCCGGCGACAAAUCAUUCAAGUUUCUGCCCUAUCAGCUUUCGAUGGUAGUGUAUUGGACUACCAUGGCAUUAACGGGUAACGGAGGAUUAGGGUUCGAUUCCGGAGAGGGAGCCUGAGAAAUGGCUACCACAUCCAAGGAAGGCAGCAGGCGCGUAAAUUACCCAAUCCUAAUUCAGGGAGGUAGUGACAAUAAAUAUCGAUGCGGGGCCCUUUGUGGUCUUGCAAUCGGAAUGAGAACAAUUUAAAUCCCUUAACGAGGAUCAAUU
rnacentral:rRNA from 1 species